rnacentral:lncRNA from 1 species
CUGAGAACAACCCAAACAAGCCUAACGGUUAAGAACUCAGUCAGCUGUGCUUCCCAGACUCUCUCUUUUUGCCAGGGUCCAGCCUCGGCAGAGUCCAGGUUCCCGCGGGAGAGACGGCGUCGGCGAAAGUGUUUGCAGGGGACUUUGACCAAUGCAGCCUGUUCUUCCUCAGGUGUCCUUGGUGAAGAAAGAAAGAAUUUUACGGAUAUCGUAGGCUGACUGCUGCCCUUUCUUCGCUCUGAGACCUGGGUGGCACAUUUUCAUGGAUACCAAGUACAUGCCUUAUGCUGCACAGAUCUACUUCACACAGCUUUGGAGAACAGCUUCUCCGUGGUUCCUACGGACUUCUCUUUCUGAGGAGAAACUUAGAAAAGUAAGACUUGUGAUUUUUUGCAGACAACAUCACGUUUUUCUGUUGAAGAGAGUUGGAUUUCUCCUUGUCCAACCUACAGUGCUUUUCACUAUUUUUCUGACUUUAUUCAACUGGCAAGAAUCUGCAGCACAAUGUUAAAGAGAAGUUAUGAAAAAGGAUAUUUUCCAGUUUUUCUUGAUCUUAGAGAGACUAUAUUAAAUUAUUUAGUGUUUUUCCAUUAAUUUUAAUGUGAGUUUUAUCAGAUUGUUUUAUAUCAGGCUGAAGAAAAUUCUAUUCUUGUUUUUCCAACAGUUUUUAAACAUGAGUGGGUAUUGAAUUAUGUCAAACGCUAUUUUCCUGCUUCUUUUGAGAUAAUUAUACGGAGUUCCUUUUACUAUGGCAAAUUACACUGAUUUUUCAAUCGUAAACCAACCUUGUUUUCCUUAGACAAAAUAUAUUUUACUUUCAUGUUGUUGGUUUGAGUAUGCUAAUAUUUUGUUAAGGAUUUUUACAUGUAUGUUCAUGAGGAAUAUUAAUCUCUAAUUUUCUGUCUUUGUAAGUUUCUUUCCUGUUUUCCAUUCUGCCUCAUUAAAAACGUUGGAACACAUAAUAUCUUCCUCUAUUUUCUGAAGUUGUUUGGUAGUAUUGGUAUUAUUUGUACUUAAAAUGUGUGACAGAAUUCAGCAGUGAUGUCACCUGGACCUCAG